AAUUUCUUGCAAGUAUAAAGGUUGUAAAAGUAAAAAUGUUAUAAAUAUUUUUUACUUGUUAUAUUUGUGUUUAUGAAUAGGUGGCAUUCUAUAUGUGCCAUAUUUAACAAGUUAUUAGGUUGCUACCAGAUCAGCUCCAUUCUGCUAGGUAUGAAAAGGAAAACAGAAACCAAGAUCCUCAUUGUUUGGUUUGUGCUUUGCAAGUUCUAAACAUCACAUUUAUUGUAAGUUUAAGAGAAAAGGAGGAUGGCAAUUGCAAAGAUCAUAAGGAUGUUUGGUCUGUUGAAUGAAAAAGGUCACAGUUCCUGGAACGCAGAAAAUCUGUAAGCUUAUUCAUUCACUCAUACUGAAAAAGAAGAACACAGAAAGACUCAUCAGUACCUCUUCUGUGACAUACUCUAGCCUUAAACGGAACUUGGUUUAGCAGAGAGUUGCAGAAAAAAUUUGUAAGUGCUACAGAGAAGCAGCAGUGAGUGGGUUAAUAGGAAAGGGGAAUGGGCAGCAGGCAGGAAAAAAACAGGCAAAUAGGUUUAUUAUAUUUAGAUAAUAAAAAUAACAAUUAAUAUAUAUAUAACAUAUAUAAAUGAUAUAUAAUGUAUGCAAAAUGCCACUCCUUACCUGCCAGAUAGCAAUGCAGGAAAUCUGUGGGCACCCUCGGGGAUUGAAAUUGCUAUUUCUCAGCUGUUUGAUGCUUUUCUCAGUAUGCUGAUUCUUCAUAUUCCUGACAUAGAGUUUAACCCUAUGGGAACCUGGGUUUUAAUGAGCAUGAACAGGUUCCUAAAAUUGUAAUAGGUUUGUUACUUCAGGGACGGAUGUGUAUGCAUUUCCAUGUUGAAGGACAUACCAGAAGUACUGGGACUUAAAGUUAGCAUGGAAAACCAAAGAAGGCACUAAGUGGACAGACUUCUCUAAAGGACUUCUUUUGCUUGCUGAAGCAUCAGAUCCUACCAGCUUCUGUUCUUACUUCUUGUAGGGCACCUUUAAACCAUAUUUGCAGUAUAAAGCACUUCAGUAUUAUUUGGAAUAGAUCCCAUACCUCUUUAAAAGUUGGAUCUAGUCAAAGAAUAAUUCUGUAACAACAACGCUGUAUUUCUUCCACCCUCUACUGAUCUCUAGAGCCAAAGUAUUUGUUGCACGAUGCUCUUUAGUUCAUUCUCCUAUCAGCAGCGCAGAGGCAUUACAGCAAUCUGAUGUAAUAUGCUUUAUCACCACCAAAGCAGUUGCCAGGAUUACCACAUUUUUUUAUACUAAUUCAGUGAAAGUGUACAUGGUGUUUAAAGCACAUCUUGAUUUUGAGUUCUGGAGUUGUAUUUUAGGGACUGUAGAGAUAGGACAAGGAGUAACUGGUUAAAACUUAAACAAGGGAAGUUUAGAUUGGAUAUAAGGAAGAAAUUCUUUCCUGUUAGGGUGGUGAGGCACUGGAAUGGGUUGCCCAGGGAGGCUGUGAAUGCUCCAUCCCUGGUGGUGUUCAAGGCCAGGUUGGACAAAGCCUUGGGUGGCAUGGUCUAGUGUGGGGUGUCCCUGCUCAUGGCAGGGGUGUUGGAACUAGAGGAUCUUUAGGUCCUUUCCAACCCUAACUCUUCUGUGAUUCUAUGAUUUUCAAGCCUAAAAUUCAAGCCUAGCAAAUUUGUUUUAUUGAGCUAGUGCAUACUUUGCACAAAUUAAGAAGGUUGAGUAUGAAACAUCAAGGUAGCAUUUUUAGGAACCAAAUUUUGCAGCCAGGCAUGUAGCCAAAAGCCAAACUAUUAAGCUGAUUUUGAUUACAUCUUGAAUUGGUAGAAAAGUAUCUGUGGGCAAAGAGAAAACUUUGCUUGCUGAGCCUUAUCGCUGAAAUAUCAUAUGACCUUUCCUGUGCCAAUACAACCACUUGUACUGUAUUCCCACGACUCCCUCUGGUGGCAAACUUGUCCAUCCCAGGUGCUGGGUAACAUCCCUCUGUUUUUGAUUGAUGCUACACAUGGGCUACAGGCAUUUUGAUCGAUUCUCAGCUCAUUCCAGCAGUGGAAAUGCUGUUAAAAUUUCUGUUCAAGUUGUGUCUUUUUCUUACUUUUAGUUAUAUAUCUAACAGUUUGAGUUAUCAAACUACUGUUAAACCUGCCUAAUAUUGAAAACACUGCAGAAAAUGUUUGUUUAAUAAUAUUUUGUAAAACAAAUAAUAUCUCUGGUUUACAUUCUUCCCUUUCAUGUCGCCCAUCACUAUACAAACACCUCACAAAUGGUCCUGAUUUGUCUUAGGCCAGGCUGAUGAGGCAAAGAGCAGCAUCACAACAGGGAGCUGCAGCCUGGAGGAGGCAAGUGAUUUUCCCAGUUUCACAUGCAGAGCCAGUGCCAUGCUGGGAAAACCUGGAGUUUCGUCUUACCUGGGGCAGCAUACCCCACCCAGUUGUAUAAAGGGACUAUAACAUCUACUAAUUCACUUUUAUGUUCAAGGUUUUUCUUUCCCCACCAUUGGAGACAGCACUGCCUACCAGCUGCCGUCCUUGCCAGACCAUCCCUCACUACCUGCCUGCUGCCUAGACAUGAAGCAGCGGACCCUGACAGUCUCUGUGUGUCCAGAAUCCUGGCAAAUGUGGUAGGAAUUUGAUGAGAGAAGACCCAUCAUGGCCUGCUCAUCCAACUUUAUGAAACUGAUUGGUACCAAAAUUACGUUACAUAAUUAAGUCACUUUAAUGAGAGCUAAACUCCUUUAUAAACAUUGCUUUGCAACUUAUUUUUUGCUUCAGACUUGUCCUUUUUGUGCACAUCUGACCUCACUUUCAUCAAGCAAUGCCAUUGGCACUGAAAUAUCAAGAGAAAUUACAGAUUUUAGAGAAAAAGGAAUCAUCCUCUUAACUCAAUAGCUGGAGGAUGAAAAUAUUUCUGUUUAUCCUGCUGUCAAAUCAACUGUGUUUUAUUUGUUACGUUGUUCAGAUUAGUAACACUGCUUUCCACAAAGGCGCUAUGUUGGUAAGUCAUACCCCAUGCCCACACCGAGCAUGUAAUUCCUCCUCUUGUCAUGAAUAAACCUUCUUAGCUGAGUACAUAAGGAUGAUGUGCAAAAGGAUCACAACUAGCCCAAAAGGUAGAAUGAUAUAGGGAUAUGUCUGCAGAACAAAAUAGGAAACACUUUAAUGCAUGAUGAUGUCCCGGUGAUCAAAACAGAGCAUGCAUUGCAGGGAGAUGGGAAAUUAAGGAGGUCUCUUAUGUCACCUCUGCUAAGCAGGAUCCUACUAUUUUUAGCAUUUGAAUUCAGGUUAGAAUUCAGGUCUCUCUUCCAGACACACACGUGUCACUGCCUAUAUAUACGUACACGAUAUAUGUGACAUAAUUUUCUGUUGCCUCAAAUGGAAAUUUUUUACUCAGUAAUUUCUUAUUCCGAGGCUGUUCUGAAGAAAGGUAGGUCCAGUUAUGUGAUCCUAGUAAAUUUAUUAUGACUAAGGCUCUGGUCUUUGUCCUGUAAGUAUUUAAGUAUAGUCUUUUUAUGCUUGAAUUUUAUUUCUCUAUAUAAAUCAUACCUAUUGCAGCUGCCAUGAAGUUGAGGCAUACCUGGCACUGUUGAUGUGGGAUCAGAAUGAUGGAACCUGAACACAUCGGUCCUGCCCCUGUCUGACAGAGAAGAGUAAACCCUUGCAACAUUUUUUUCCCUGUUCAGGUUUGCCCUGUCUUAUAACUUCUAAGAGUAGAUUGACAAUGAUAAUACAGGAGUAUGAGGACUGCCACCUAUACAAAUUCAUCAACACCAGAGGCCAUUCCCAUCCCAGUAUCAUAACCAUUUUGUUGUGUUUCUCCUUCCUGAGUUUUUUCCUCUGCCCAGUGAAUCUUUGUUUUCUAGCUGCAGAGCGGAUCAACUACAGCUGAAAGCAGAGCUGCCUAAACCAGCUAAAAGCCAAAGCAUUCUCCUGGUACAGGAACAGAAUUGAUCCAAACACCUACAUGCUCAGGAAUGGGUAGAAAUUGGAGUUUCCUAUUCCUGGGGGAAGGUUCUUUAGAUGGACUGUUCUUAAAUGGCACCCUCUGUGAAGACUCUAUUCUUUUCCCCUGCCUCCUGAUGACAGCUUCAUAAUUGGUUUUGGAGUGACACACGGAACAGGCAGCCUGAACCAGGGCACAACUGAGACCAGCUUCAUUGAGAAAGGGUUGUAUUCAUUGAGGACAGGAUUUCUAAUAGCAAAAAAAUGUCUUAGCUAAUGAUAUUCCACUAAUCAUCUGAGGCUGGGACAAUAGAAAGUAGAUUAACUCCCCCAGCAAGUGUUAAUGCUGGAAAUCAAAAGCGGUGACUGGUAAAAUUUAUUUCAUAGUCUUCAAGAAGAAAAGGCUUCUACUUUACUACAAAUUAAGACCUGUUUUCUAUGAGACAGCAGACUGUCCUGUCAUUCUCCAGACUAUUUUAAAGUUGAGCCUUUUUCUCUUCUUUUAGGCAUUGCAGCGUAUUAUGAACAAAAAACUUUAAUUGUUCAGGAUGUCACCUUCUGUUUGACAGGAGGAAACAAGGAGCGAUUACUGCGUCUGUGGAUUUCACAUGGAGCCAGGGAAGACAAUAAAAAAAUGAAGCAAGAUUUCCUCUUAUAAAGGAAAAGGAAAAGAAACCAUUUAUGAGCAGCAGAAUAAAUGGCUGUGUUUGAUAUUA